CCUACGGGUGGCAGCAGUGGGGGAUAUUGCACAAUGGGGGAAACCCUGAUGCAGCGACGCCGCGUGUAGGAAGACGGUCCUCUGGAUUGUAAACUACUGUCCCCAGGGACGAAGAUGACGGUACCUGGGGAGGAAGCUCCGGCUAACUACGUGCAAGCAGCCGCGGUAAUACGUAGGGAGCGAGCGUUGUCUGGAAUUACUGUGGUAAAAGGGAGCGCAGGGGGGGAUGAAAGUUGGGGGUUAAGUCUACCGGCUCAACUGGUAGUCGCACUCAAAACUGCAGCUCUUGAGUGAAGUAGAGGCAGGCGGAAUUCCUAGUGUAGCGGUGAAAUGCGUAGAUAUUAGGAGGAACACCAGUGGCGAAGGCGGCCUGCUGGGCUUUUACUGACGCUGAGGCUCGAAAGUGUGGGGAGCAAACAGGAUUAGAUACCCCAGUAGUC
rnacentral:rRNA from 1 species